CAAUAGCGUAUAUUAAAGUUGUUGCAGUUAAAAAGCUCGUAGUUGGAUUUCGGGGCAGCCUGGCUGGUCCGCCGCAAGGCGAGUACUGGUCAGCCGCCCUUCCUCUCGAAAGCCCCGACUGCUCUUCGUUGCAGCGGUCGGGUAGUUCGGGACGUUUACUUUGAAAAAAUUAGAGUGUUCAAGGCAGGCCUACGCCUGAAUACAUUAGCAUGGAAUAAUGGAAGAGGACCUCGGUCCUAUUUUGUUGGUUUCCAGGGCCGAAGUAAUGAUUAAGAGGGACAGUUGGGGGCAUUCGUAUUUAAUUGUCAGAGGUGAAAUUCUCGGAUUUAUGAAAGACGAACAACUGCGAAAGCAUUUGCCAAGGAUGUUUUCAUUAA
rnacentral:rRNA from 1 species